GGUUCUCGUACGAUCACAGAAAUUAAGCAACGUUGGGCCUGACCUGUACCUAGAUGGGUGAUCGCGUGAUAAUAUCAGGUGCCGCAAU